UUGAAGGCCCAUGGUUUAGCAAUGUAAACCCCGUCAGGCCUGGAAGGGAGCAGCGGUAGCAUUAACUGGAUGCGUGGUAGCCCUAGGAAU
rnacentral:SRP_RNA from 1 species